rfam:Canis lupus familiaris chromosome 20, whole genome shotgun sequence.
UUGACUAACCUUUGUAAAAAACUUUCCCUGUGUUAAUGAUACAGAGAAGAUUAGUAUGGCCCCUGCCGAAGGAUGACAUGUAAAUUUGUGAAGUGUUCCAUAUUUUU